rnacentral:rRNA from 1 species
GAUGCGCCAUGCCGCGUGUAUGAAGAAGGCCUUCGGGUUGUAAAGUACUUUCAGCUGUGAGGAAGGGGGUGAUGUUAAUAGCGCUAUCUUUUGACGUUAGCUGCAGAAGAAGCACCGGCUAACUCCGUGCCAGCAGCCGCGGUAAUACGGAGGGUGCGAGCGUUAAUCGGAAUUACUGGGCGUAAAGCGCAUGCAGGUGGUUUGUUAAGUCAGAUGUGAAAGCCCGGGGCUCAACCUCGGAACUGCAUUUGAAACUGGCGAACUAGAGUAUUGUAGAGGGGGGUAGAAUUUCAGGUGUAGCGGUGAAAUGCGUAGAGAUCUGAAGGAAUACCGGUGGCGAAGGCGGCCCCCUGGACAGAUACUGACACUCAGAUGCGAAAGCGUGGGGAGCAAACAGGAUUAGAUACCCUGGUAGUCCACGCCGUAAACGAUGUCUACUUGGAGGUUGGGGUCUUGAGCCGUGGCUUUCGGAGCUAACGCGUUAAGUAGACCGCCUGGGGAGUACGGUCGCAAGAUUAAAACUCAAAUGAAUUGACGGGGGCCCGCACAAGCGGUGGAGCAUGUGGUUUAAUUCGAUGCAACGCGAAGAACCUUACCUACUCUUGACAUCCAGAGAAUUCAGUAGAGACACAUUAGUGCCUUCGGGAACUCUGAGACAGGUGCUGCAUGGCUGUCGUCAGCUCGUGUUGUGAAAUGUUGGGUUAAGUCCCGCAACGAGCGCAACCCUUAUCCUUGUUUGCCAGCGCGUAAUGUCGGGAACUCCAGGGAGACUGCCGGUGAUAAACCGGAGGAAGGUGGGGACGACGUCAAGUCAUCAUGGCCCUUACGAGUAGGGCUACACACGUGCUACAAUGGCGCAUACAGAGGGCAGCGAACCAGCGAUAGUGAGCGAAUCCCACAAAGUGCGUCGUAGUCCGGAUUGGAGUCUGCAACUCGACUCCAUGAAGUCGGAAUCGCUAGUAAUCGUAGAUCAGAAUGCUACGGUGAAUACGUUCCCGGGCCUUGUACACCCCGCCCGUCACACCAUGGGAGUGGGCUGCAAAAGAAGUGGAUAGCUUAACCUUUCGGGGGA